rnacentral:lncRNA from 1 species
CGUUAUAUUUUACCUCGGUUGGAGAGGCGAGUAGGGUAACUCCCGAGGUAUAACUUUUAGAGUUCACUUCAUGCCAAACCACCACGUGAGGGUGAACUCAGCCAACGCCAAGGAACUGCUAUGUUUUCAAAACGAAAACAUGAUUUAUGCGUACAUAACUUUUUUACCGCCUUGGCGGACUCGAUUGGGAUAGCUCUCGAUCAAGGUAUCCCUGAU